rnacentral:rRNA from 1 species
GACGAACGCUGGCGGCGUGCUUAACACAUGCAAGUCGAGCGGAGCGGCGAACGGGUGAGUAACGCGUGAGUAACUGCCCCACUCUCUGGGAUAACAGUUGGCAACGGCUGCUAAUAACGGAUAGUGGGGGAUGACUCGCGUCCUAUCCGCUUGUUGGUGGGGUAGUGGCCUACCAAGGCGACGACGGGUAGCCGGCCUGAGAGGGCGACCGGCCCAAUGGGGCUGAGCUACUGCCCAAACUCCUACGGGAGGCAGCAGAGGGGAAUAUUGCACAAUGGGGGAAACCCUGAUGCAGCAACGCGCGUGCGGGAUGGCGGCCUUCGGUUUGUAAACCACUUUCAGCCAUGACGCGGUAGUGGCAGAAGAAGCACCGGCUAACUACGUGCCAGCAGCCGCGGUAAUUC